GUAGUAGUAGUAGUAGUAGUAGUAGUAGUAGUAGUAGUAGUAGUACUCGUGUUAUGAAUGACAGAGAAACACACACACACACACACACACACACACACACACACACACACACACACACACACACACACACACACACAUGGGUCCCGACCGACCAGAGUUGCCAGGUCCGUGGUUUUCUCGCCCAAUUGGGCUCUUUUUCCUGGUAUUGGGCGUGAAAAACAUGGUUUCCGCGGUUUGGCGCUUUUUGGGCUCUUUUUACCGCAGUUGGGCUAUUUUCUGGGCUACUUAUAUUUGAAAAUAUAUAAUAUACUCUUGCCUUCCCGACAUACCAAAUGAGGGAGUAGACUCACUCGUAUGAUAAGGAGUGGCGCCAGGUCAGCCAGUAGAAGGGUGGUGUGAACAAGUCUCCCCUCUCCCUAAGGGGAUUACUACUAGGGCCGCAUGACCUCAUUAAGACUGUAGGGCAUCCAUCCUGAACACCUGCAUGCCGCACCCAUAAUUUCCACAUUCACCUCACAGCACACACACUGAAACACAGCCACUUUAUUUAUUCUCAGCCUCGUAGCUGCCUCAGCCUGCCUGGAGGAGAUACAAGUAUACUGGAUGCAGGCCACGUGCAUACGUGUGUACGUAUGCACGUGAACAUGAGCAAGUGGUCGAAAUACAGCAAAAAAUACUGUAAAGAGUGGGAACAAGAGGACGGGCUCAAGACAACAAAGUGUUAGCACCGUGUAUGCUGAAGGAACUGUGUUGUGACAUUGGCAAAAGUGAAUAUUCAUUGAUAAUACACGAAAGUACUGACAAUAAUAGGAAGAAAAAGCUGUGUAUUGUUGUUGUUGUUGUUGUUGUUCGGUACCCAAGUUACGAACAGAAAAGAAUCAUAACAUCAUUCUUGGGACUUGUUGAACUCGAUAGAAGCACUGCUGAGGCUGUUACAGCAUCUUUGCUUGAGUUCCUGAAAAAAAGUAAAUCUAGACAUAAAAAAGUGUAUUGUAUUGGCUCUUUUUGGAGUAAAAGUGCGCGAAAAUACUGCCGCUGACCUGGCAACCCUGCCUGCGACCGACUCGCCUGAGUUGACACUAAGCCACGGUGAAGGUGAGACGUACGCCGCCGUGUUCUGGCGUCCCUCCGGAUAUUCUCGGUGCCACCGCGACUCUGGCACCCCUCUGUUGGGUGUGCGUGGUGCCCCUGGCCUGACACUCCACGCGGCUGCUGUACCUAUACCGUGCUUCGGGAGGACAGCAGCGAUGCCGCCCUCUCUGUGUUAUGCUGUGUUUGGCCCACGCUGUGUUUUUCACGUGUUUCUGAAGUAAUGUGAUCGCUGAAGGAGAGAAAUGCUGGCGUGAGGAGGCGAGACGUGCUUCCAGGCAGUGAGUGGAGGAGGAGGAGGAUGUCGUCGCUGGUGGAGGCACUGCAGGUGUCUCCCGCCCGCAGCCGGCGUAGGAAGCCCUCCACGGCGCAGAGCCUCUACAGGGGCGUCGUCAGGAGCAAGGUGAGAGGCGGCCGUCCGGACUUGUCACUCUUCCUCACCGUGUCUGUUUUCCUUCGCCUCCUCUCCCAUUGUCUCUUCAUCCUGCAGUCUUCCUCCUCUGACCUCCCUCUUCUUCAGCUUGCGAUCUUUCUCCUCUAA